GCACUGAAAGUCAGAGUUGGAGGAAAACAAACCGAUCGAUCACCAGACUCUAGAAUGGCUAGAUGGGCAAAGUUUGUCGCUGAUGCAUGGGUUUGUUUUCCUCCAAUAUCUCACCUUCAGUCA
rnacentral:pre_miRNA from 1 species